CCCGCCGAGGCCACCCCGCCGCUCUUGAACCGUUUCGGGCCCAUGGCGGAUAAAAAACGGCUUCACGCCUCCGCUCCUUAGCGACGGGGCUUUCCGGCCGGGGCCGGUCGUGUGGGACGUGCCUGCGGCCGGCGGGGAGGGGAAGCUCCGCGGUCGGCGGCUUUACUCGCCUCACGGAGCCGCCGGGCUUGAGGCGGGAAAGCGGACAGAGAAAAAAAUCAAGACUUCGAUCGUUCACAGAAAGAGGCAGUGUGACGUUCCCGCCGUACCCUUGCUCUUCAUUAAAGUCUUGGAUAUGCAGCCUGUGCCUGCUGAGUUUGCAGGGCUGGAUGUAAGCUUCAGGAGGACCAACUGGAGAGGGUUGUGCACCCGGAUCCUGCUGGUAUGGCUGGAAAUAUGCACUACCAUGAUGUCCGUGGGAGACGACACCUGCUUAAUUAUGCCCACACCUGGAUCUGUAUGCUCAGGAUCCUUAGGAAGGUUAAAAACCAGCAAGACUGAUGUCAGCCUACAAACAGCUCUGAGAACAUGAACAAUAGCUGUGAAAACCACGAACCGGCCUGUUUAUAUCUAUUGUAUGCUUGCUUGGAUGCAUAAGGGUUAUUUGAAGGAAAUUGUUUUGUUCUGCUGCGUACCGUCUUAGUAAACGAAUCUGGAUAAC